rnacentral:rRNA from 1 species
UUCACGGAGAGUUUGAUCCUGGCUCAGGACGAACGCUGGCGGCGCGCUUAACACAUGCAAGUCGAGCGAGAACCGGACCUUCGGGUCCGGGGACAGCGGCGAACGGGUGAGUAACACGUGGGUAAUUUGCCCUCGGUUCUGGGAUAGCCCGGGGAAACCCGGAUUAAUACCGGAUAGCCUCUCGAGCUCUCGGGCUUGAGAGGAAAGGUAGCUUCGGCCUCCGACCGAGGAGAAGCCCGCGGCGGAUUAGCUUGUUGGUGGGGUAAUGGCCCACCAAGGCUACGAUCCGUAGCUGGUCUGAGAGGACGAUCAGCCACACUGGGACUGAGACACGGCCCAGACUCCUACGGGAGGCAGCAGUGGGGAAUCUUGCGCAAUGGGCGAAAGCCUGACGCAGCGACGCCGCGU